CAGGGAGUAAUUUAAGUUAGAAUUUCAGCUUUGGGUGCUGGCUGUAGAACAGGAUGUUCUCUCCCUGA
rnacentral:tRNA from 1 species